rnacentral:rRNA from 1 species
UACGGAGGGUGCAAGCGUUAUCCGGAUUCACUGGGCUUAAAGGGUGCGUAGGCGGGCCGGCAAGUCCGUGGUGAAAUCUCUGAGCUUAACUCAGAAACUGCCAUGGAUACUAUUUGUCUUGAAUAUUGUGGAGGUAAGCGGAAUAUGUCAUGUAGCGGUGAAAUGCUUAGAUAUGACAUAGAACACCAAUUGCGAAGGCAGCUUACUACACAGUUAUUGACGCUGAGGCACGAAAGCGUGGGGAACAAACAGG